GACGAACGCUGGCGGCGUGCUUAACACAUGCAAGUCGAACGGAAAGGCCCUGCUUUUGUGGGGUGCUCGAGUGGCGAACGGGUGAGUAACACGUGAGUAACCUGCCCUUGACUUUGGGAUAACUUCAGGAAACUGGGGCUAAUACCGGAUAGGAGCUCCUGCUGCAUGGUGGGGGUUGGAAAGUUUCGGCGGUUGGGGUUGGACUCGCGGCUUAUUAGCUUGUUGGUGGGGUAGUGGCUUACCAAGGCUUUGACGGGUAGCCGGCCUGAGAGGGUGACCGGCCACGUUGGGACUGAGCUACGGCACAGACUCCUACGGGAGGCAGCAGUGGGGAAUAUUGCACAAUGGGCGGAAGCCUGAUGCAGCAACGCCGCGUGCGGGAUGACUGCCUUCGGGUUGUAAACCGCUUUCGCCUGUGACGCAGCGUGAGUGACGGUAAUGGGUAAAGAAGCACCGGCUAACUACGUG
rnacentral:rRNA from 1 species